rnacentral:siRNA from 1 species
CUUGUGAGAAAUGGGAAACUU